rnacentral:pre_miRNA from 1 species
ACCAAGAUGGCAUUCACCUGCAUUGGCACCUGCACCUCUUGCUUGUUCCUUCUCUUCCUUUCUACCUUCCAUAUAUAAGUUUCCAUUUUCUUAAUUCUCUUUCCAUUUUUCUUGCCUUAGCCAUGCUUUGAAGCUUUGAAGCAACUCGAAGCUUUGAAGCUCUGGUAUUUAAAGUUUUGAGGAGAUGAAGGAAGAAACAAGUGCAGGUGCAAAUGCAGAUAAAAGCAACAUAUUGGC